CGGAUCAGGUAGGAAUACCCGCUGAACUUAAGCAU
rnacentral:rRNA from 2 species